rnacentral:pre_miRNA from 1 species
CAUGUACUAGUGGGGUCCCUCGGCCUGGCCUGUGGACAUCCCCCAAAAGGUCCCGGAUUGUGAGAGGGCACAAGCCAGGCUGAGGGACCCCACCAGUGCACA